ensembl:lncRNA
CUUCAUGUGAAAAUAGAAUGAAACUAAACUUUUAUACAAUAUAAUGAAUGUAUUAGAUUAUAGUAAAACACCUAUUUCAUAAAUAGUGAACUCUUGAUAUGAAAAAAAAAGCUACUGUUGAACUACUGAAAAAAAUGUAUAUACUCUAGUAACGUCACUAGUUUUACUUUACAAAACUGACCUCAAGUCAUAAUUUAAUCUUGUUUAACUUAAAAUGAACCAAGAACUGUUCCCUUUCAGUCGGUCACGUUCAACGUGAUGGUUACAUACAGUACGUAACAGAUGUUAGAGUGUCACACAUACAGUACUAAAAGCUUGUGAGACAUAAAUUAGUGGACUGGAUUCUCAUAUACUUAUUCUCUCCUCAAAGGCACUUAAAAACCAUUUGACAUUUAUACAAGUGUUCGACUCCCUGGAGGCUGCACGUACUACUGGCCUGGGACGUGUGGAUUGAGACACACCCUUGGACUCCCAUCCAUCCAUCCGUUUCUGUCCCUCCCUUUUAUAUUCUCAGCCGAACGGCUCUUCGCUGUCAUAGAGUGGAGCUGAUGUGGGAAAUCUUAAGCACUGCUCAAGUACUGGCUGAAAUCAAUCACCUGUUUCACAUUCAGGGCGAAUUUUAAGAAGGGGGGGAAAACCGACAGCUGGGGUGAAAAAUCCAGCACUGCUGCUUAGGUUUCCAUCGCGGCGUCUCCCCUGUCAGCGGCGCUCCCCGAACAAGCCCCUGAAAUAAAUGAAAGCAGUUCCACUCUGCUGACUGUUGGCGCCUCUAUUCCCAGGCUUGAUUUAGUGCCACUUUUUUCUUAAUGGACUGUUUGUGAGACUGGCUUCAGAAGCGGAGCGGACCCGCACAAACCCACCAAUCACCAAACACUGCAACAGGAAAGGUUCUGCUGACCUCUGAGAUGCUUCACGCCGAAAACUAAACACACAGCAUUUGUUAGUGCUCUGUAGCGCUUACCGCAGGGGAACAUUAUUAGCAUGAAAUGACACGUAUGAUUACUGUUCUUUUCUUUUAGCUCGCUGCUGCCGGCUCUUUCUCAAACUAACAAUUACUUCUACCAGUGCAGCAGUGCAGUGUAAGCUGUUGAAUCUCAGGGUCGGUAACAGGAAGGUUGUUGGUUUGAUUCCUACAAGCAGAAAAUUAUUAUUAUUGUGCCCUUGAAAUCUUACAACAACUUAUUUCUAUCAGUUUUUAUUUUUCCUAUUUAGGAGAACCAAAUUUGACAGCUAAAUGAUAUAAACGAGAACUUUAAGUCUGAUUUUAAUCAAUAAAAUCAUUUUAACAUGCUUUUUGGUUGUUGCUUCUCAUAUGACUCAUAAAUUAAGGGAAUAUUUUAGGUGUAAAAAAAAAACACCUUUCAUCUUUAAAAGAUUCAUCACAUGACCUGGAAUAAAGAUUUGAUCACGGCCUUGAUCAACCUUCAAAAGGUUUCUGGUAUAAGGUUUGAAGGUGUGGAUGUUUGAUAUUGUGUGGGAUGGUAAUGAGAUUUCCCAUUUUUGGAGAAAAUGAUGGAAAAGCCUU